rnacentral:misc_RNA from 1 species
AUCAAAAAACCUCGUCUGCACAUAGCUAGCAGAGUUUUGCCAGUACAGACAUGCCAUAUCUCCAGCUCUUGUCCUCAACUCCAACAAAUUACGAUCAAUCUCAGUUUCAUGCUUUAGCACUACCGGUCUAAAGAAGGAAUCAUAUACAUAUGUUGUUCCCUUUGUUUUGGGGCACCACAAAUAUAUGAUGAAUGCCAACUUAGCUUCACUGUACAUUGGAACCCAUGAAACAAAAGCAUCGCCAACUCUUUCACAUACUGU